GAAAAAUUGAAAAAAAAAAAAAAAUACAACUAAACUGGUUCUGAUACCAUCCUUCCCGUUGUCAACGAGAUCAUUAAAGACCUAAUGAAACACUUCAUUUACGUUUGCAAAUGGGACAGAAGGUCUUGAGGUUUCAAGAUGCGGCUGAGUAGUUGAAGAACAAAAAAGACAGCAGAAAUCCAUGCCCCUCGAUGAGGGGAAGAGUAGUACUAGAAUG
rnacentral:misc_RNA from 1 species